rnacentral:rRNA from 1 species
UACGUAGGCAGCGAGCGUUGUUCGGAGUUACUGGGCGUAAAGAGUGCGUAGGCGGUUUUUCAAGUUUGGUGUGAAAUCUCCCGGCUUAACUGGGAGGGUGCGCCGAAAACUGGGAGGCUAGAGUAUGGGAGAGGUAAGCGGAAUUCCUGGUGUAGCGGUGAAAUGCGUAGAUAUCAGGAGGAACACCUGCGGUGUAGACGGCUUACUGGACCAUAACUGACGCUGAGGCACGAAAGCGUGGGUAGCAAACAGG